rnacentral:rRNA from 1 species
UACGAAGGGGGCUAGCGUUGUUCGGAUUUACUGGGCGUAAAGCGCACGUAGGCGGAUCGAUCAGUCAGGGGUGAAAUCCCAGAGCUCAACUCUGGAACUGCCUUUGAUACUGUCGAUCUGGAGUAUGGAAGAGGUGAGUGGAAUUCCGAGUGUAGAGGUGAAAUUCGUAGAUAUUCGGAGGAACACCAGUGGCGAAGGCGGCUCACUGGCCCGGUACUGACGCUGAGGCGCGAAAGCGUGGGGAGCAAACAGG